rnacentral:rRNA from 1 species
AUUGAACGCUGGCGGCAGGCUUAACACAUGCAAGUCGAGCGGGGUGAUGGUGCUUGCACAAUCACUUAGCGGCGGACGGGUGAGUAAUGCUUAGGAAUCUGCCUAUUAGUGGGGGACAACAUCUCGAAAGGGAUGCUAAUACCGCAUACGUCCUACGGGAGAAAGCAGGGGAUCACUGGUGACCUUGCGCUAAUAGAUGAGCCUAGGUCGGAUUAGCUAGUUGGUGGGGUAAAGGCCUACCAAGGCGACGAUCUGUAGCGGGUCUGAGAGGAUGAUCCGCCACACUGGGACUGAGACACGGCCCAGACUCCUACGGGAGGCAGCAGUGGGGAAUAUUGGACAAUGGGGGGAACCCUGAUCCAGCCAUGCCGCGUGUGUGAAGAAGGCCUUAUGGUUGUAAAGCACUUUAAGCGAGGAGGAGGCUCUUUUGGUUAAUACCCAAGAUGAGUGGACGUUACUCGCAGAAUAAGCACCGGCUAACUCUGUGCCAGCAGCCGCCGUAA